rnacentral:lncRNA from 1 species
GACCAUGGACGCAGGUGUCGUCGAUCUCUCCCCUUCUCUAUUGGGAUGGGUUGUGCUUCAGCGACCACACGGCUGAGGAGGACGGGGUGUGCUCCAGCAACUCUGUUCUGGAGGACGAGGGAGGAGUGACCCGUACGGUGGGAGGUAGGGGGUGUGGGAUGCCGCGCAAGCCUCGUGGGGUGGUGCCGACGAGCUGCCACCGAGGAUCGAGCAACGUUGGCCGGUGGAUGGGUUCUGCCGCGGCCGCGCGCGGACAAACCAGUCAAUCCAAAGGCCAAAAGCCAGCUUACUAUAAGGUAUGAUAAAUUCCGGAAGCACCAUCUAAAUGUUCUUCAUUCUACACAGCCUUUCUGCUUGCAGCAAUUAGUGCAGAUAUGUCACGUGAACUGUGAUACUUAUUUGAGAAUGUAGGUGUGCCAACACUUCCACUUUCAUCAACACAGGUCUAGAAUCCUAAUAAGGUCUGUCAACAGAGGUCUAGAAUCCUAAUAAGGUCUGUCAACCGUUGCAUUUAAGUAGAGAGUCCACUUUGAUGGAAAACAUGUUUGUUCUUCAAGUGGACUAGCAGCCAUGUGAAUGCCUGAUGCCUGUGAAUGUUUGCACCUUAUUCAAUGUCAAACAAUUAGUUUGUUCUUCUACCUUGCAGUGACAUGUACUAUAGACUGGACAUGUGGGUUCUAGACAUACAAUGAUGCAAGUAGGGGACCUCUCUCCCUCCCUUGGCAUCUCUACAAACAUAUUUUGUCCCUCUCAUGUAAUAUUUAUAUAUAGUUUGAGUAUAAAUUGUACAUGUUUCAGACAGAUUUGUUUUUAUGAAACUUGGCCUCUCAUAUCAUAAUCCAUAACUGAAAUGCUACUAAUGUUGGCAGAAUCUUUGUUAACAUGCAAUAGGAAUAGCUCUGUAUGUUAAUAUAGUGAUGCAUAUUAACUAAGUAGAACUGUGCCGUUCUGUUAGAGAUGGGAUUUAGCUUGGGUUUUGUUUUUGGACUUUUGUUGCCUUUCCGAAGCACAAAACUUGCACAAUUGUUUCUUCUUCUGUAUUCAAAACUGUACCUAGCUGGCUUGGUUAUUUUCAUCCUUUCUGUCUCCCAGGUGAUGAAAUUUGAAUAAAUCAAGACUUCUGGUAUGCAUUACUAUGAUUUCCAAUAGAUAGCUUCACCAUGAUUUCCAGUUGUUUUACUAAUUAAUGAUUCUAUCUUAAUUAGAUAUUUGCUUACUAGGAGGUUUAUGGUAUUUGGUAGUGACUUUUGGUUUGUUAUGUUUGUUUGUUCCGAUGACAAUAAAAUAUAGAACAAGAAUUGUCUAAGAAGGCAAAGAUAGACAUGUACAUGUUUGAGCCAAAUAUUUAAAAUUACACACAAUGUACUAUGUAGCUGUCAUUGAAGUGUGUGUUUUUGUCGUUCUUCUUUUCUCUUGAAAGUUAAGAUUUAUUACUUUAUAUGCUUUGCAAAAUUCACAUGUCUUGAUUAUCUUUGCAUGGCACUUGUUUGACUGUAACAUUGCAGAUCUACAUGGAGGAAUGUGUCAUCAAUGAGGCCGGUUGCCCAUGUCAUGAGAGGAAGACAAGAUUACAUGGCUGAUAACUAUCAUUGUAGAUAGAGCACACUUUGUGUUAAAAUUAGUGAUGCUCUAUGUAAUUUUUGAUAUCUUCAUGGCGAGUCUCAAAUUUAGAUUGUAUAUGCUAAUACUUGAGAUAUGUUUUUUCUAGACUUAAUAAUUGAUGUUGAAAUGGAGUACACAUUUUCGAUAAACAUGGUGUUGAAUUUUCAGAGAUAUUGAUUCAGUUCAUGGCCAUCAAAUUUGAUAUCCAGUUAUUCACUUUCCUUUCCGAAUGGUGUAAGCCUGGAAUAAAAC